rnacentral:tRNA from 2 species
GCCACCAUAGCUCAAUCGGCAGAGCACCUGUUUUGUAAACAGGUUGUUCCGGGUUCGAGUCCCGGUGGUGGCU